UACGAAGGGGGCUAGCGUUGCUCGGAAUCACUGGGCGUAAAGGGUGCGUAGGCGGGUCUUUAAGUCAGGGGUGAAAUCCUGGAGCUCAACUCCAGAACUGCCUUUGAUACUGAAGAUCUUGAGUUCGGGAGAGGUGAGUGGAACUGCGAGUGUAGAGGUGAAAUUCGUAGAUAUUCGCAAGAACACCAGUGGCGAAGGCGGCUCACUGGCCCGAUACUGACGCUGAGUCACGAAAGCGUGGGGAGCAAACAGG
rnacentral:rRNA from 1 species